rnacentral:rRNA from 1 species
CGGGGGGGGCGGGCGUUUAUUUCGGAAUUAUUGGGCGUAAAGGGCGCGUAGGUGGUCAUGCAAGUCAAACGUGAAAGCCUUUGGCUUAACCAGAGAAUUGCGUUUGAAACUGCAUGACUUGAGUUCGGGAGAGGAAAGUGGAAUUCCCAGUGUAGCGGUGAAAUGCGUAGAUAUUGGGAGGAACACCGGUGGCGAAGGCGACUUUCUGGACCGACACUGACACUGAGGCGCGAAAGCUAGGGGAGCAAACGGGAUUAGAUACCCCGGUAGUCCUAGCUGUAAACGAUGGGCACUUGGUGUAGGGGGUAUCGACCCCCUCCUGUGCCCGAAGCUAACGCAUCAAGUGCCCCCGCCUGGGGAGUACGGUCGCAAGGCUG